rnacentral:rRNA from 1 species
CCUACGGGAGGCAGCAGUGGGGAAUAUUGGGCAAUGGGCGCAAGCCUGACCCAGCAACGCCGCGUGAAGGAAGAAGGCUUUCGGGUGGUAAACUUCUUUUAAGAGGGAAGAGCAGAAGACGGUACCUCUUGAAUAAGCCACGGCUAACUACGUGCCAGCAGCCGCGGUAAUACGUAGGUGGCAAGCGUUGUCCGGAUUUACUGGGCGUAAAGGGAGCGUAGGCGGCCUGCCAAGUCUGAUGUGAAAUACCGGGGCUCAACCCCGGGGCUGCAUUGGAAACUGGCAGGCUGGAGUGCCGGAGAGGCAGGCGGAAUUCCUGGUGUAGCGGUGAAAUGCGUAGAUAUUAGGAGGAACACCAGUGGCGAAGGCGGCCUGCUGGACGGUGACUGACGCUGAGGCUCGAAAGCGUGGGGAGCAAACAGGAUUAGAUACCCUUGUAGUC